GGCGAUGACAAAGACAUAGUCAUUUUGAAAAUUGUGGUCCGUGAUCAUGAAUUGUAAUAUUCAAAAUGCAUUGCUAACAAAAUUGCAUAUGUUAGUUUAUUGGAAAGAACAUUACAAAGGGUGAAAAUCCCAUGUGUCAUGUGUAUGUUUUGUGUACAGUGUGCAUUUCAUGAUUCACAUUCAUUGACAAUUGAAUGUAAAGCGAAUGGUAAACUUCAUUUAAACAUAAAUAUGUUGUUGAAAACUUAUAUCGAACAAAUACCAUGAGGGAAAUGUGAAAAGGAUUUUGAAAAGAAAAUUAAAAGAGCUUACAAUUGCUGGAUUGAUAAGCAAACAAAACACACAUGUGUAUGUGCAAGAUUGUUGUCAUGUUGUGCAAUUCAUGCAAAUUAACAUUGCUUUGGUUUUUGUGUAAUUUUGUCAGCUUUGGAAUUGAGAAUGAUUUUUUUGAGUGUGAAUGGAUUGUUGUUUGUUAACAAAGGAAUGCACUUUCAAAAUCAUUGUUUGAUUUGUCAAUCAAGUUUGUGGCGUGUGUUGUGUGUCAAUUUAAUUAUAUAAUUCACAAACACAUGAAGUUUGAGCUAUUAAGGCAAUUCUUGUUUUGUUUGACCCGUCUGA
rnacentral:rRNA from 1 species